GGAUGUGAGGGCGAUCUGGCUGCGACAUCUGUCACCCAUUGAUUGCCAGGGUUGAUUUGGCUGAGCUGGCUGGGUAGGCGGGUGUCCCUUCCUCCCUCACCACUCCACAAGUGACCCUCCCGAAGCUGCGCGCUUGGUCGAAGAGGACGACCACCCCUGACAGAGAAGGACCAUUCUUCAGGUAAGGGUGUACAAGUAGCUGGGCUCCCCUGCUAGAACCUCCAAACAAGCUCUCAAAAAUACACUCUACAUUGUAGGAUGGGCUAUCUAACACAAAGAGGCCUACUUUUUUU
rnacentral:snRNA from 1 species